GACGAACGCUGGCGGCGGGCUUAACACAUGCAAGUCGAACGGAAAGGCCCUGCUUUUGUGGUUUGCUCGAUUGGCGAACGGGUGAGUAACACGUGAGUAACCUGCCCUUGACUUUGGGAUAACUUCAGGAAACUGGGGCUAAUACCGGAUAGGAGCUCCUGCUGCAUGGUGGGGGUUGGAACGUUUCGGCGGUUGGGGAUGGACUCGCGGCUUAUCAGCUUGUUGGUGGGGUAGUGGCUUACCAAGGCUUUGACGGGUAGCCGGCCUGAGAGGGUGACCGGCCACAGUGGGACUGAGAUACGGCCCAGACUCCUACGGGAGGCAGCAGUGGGGAAUAUUGCACAAUGGGCGGAAGCCUGAUGCAGCAACGCCGCGUGCGGGAUGACGGCCUUCGGGUUGUAAACCGCUUUCGCCUGUGACGAAGCGUGAGUGACGGUAAUGGGUAAAGAAGCACCGGCUAACUACGUG
rnacentral:rRNA from 1 species